rnacentral:rRNA from 1 species
UACGAAGGGGGCUAGCGUUGUCCGGAUUUAUUGGGCGUAAAGAGCGUGUAGGCGGCCAUACAGGUCCGUUGUGAAAACUGGAGGCUUAACCUCCAGACGUCGAUGGAAACCGUAUGGCUAGAGUCCGGAAGAGGAGAGUGGAAUUCCCGGUGUAGCGGUGAAAUGCGCAGAUAUCGGGAAGAACACCCGUGGCGAAGGCGGUUCUCUGGGACGGUACUGACGCUGAGACGCGAAAGCGUGGGGAGCGAACAGG